rnacentral:rRNA from 2 species
CCUUCGUGGUGUGACUGCGUACCUUUUGUAUAAUGGGUCAGCGACUUAUAUUCAGUAGCGAGGUUAACCGUAUAGGGGAGCCGUAGAGAAAUCGAGUCUUAAUAGGGCGUUUAGUUGCUGGGUAUAGACCCGAAACCAGGCGAUCUAUCCAUGAGCAGGUUGAAGGUUGGGUAACACUAACUGGAGGACCGAACCCACUGUCGUUGAAAAGCCAGGGGAUGACUUGUGGAUAGGGGUGAAAGGCUAAUCAAGCCUGGUGAUAGCUGGUUCUCCCCGAAAGCUAUUUAGGUAGCGCCUCGGACGAAUACCAUAGGGGGUAGAGCACUGUUUCGGCUAGGGGGUCAUCCCGACUUACCAAACCGAUGCAAACUCCGAAUACCUAUGAGUACUAUCCGGGAGACAGACUGCGGGUGCUAACGUCCGUAGUCAAGAGGAAAACAAUCCAGACCGCCAGCUAAGGCCCCAAAAUCAUAGUUAAGUGGGAAACGAUGUGGGAAGGCAUAGACAGCUAGGAGGUUGGCUUAGAAGCAGCCACCCUUUAAAGAAAGCGUAAUAGCUCACUAGUCGAGUCGGCCUGCGCGGAAGAUGUAACGGGGCUAAAACUAUGUGCCGAAGCUGCGGAUGUAUACUUUGUAUACGUGGUAGGGGAGCGUUCUGUAAGCCGAUGAAGGUGUGUUGAGAAGCAUGCUGGAGGUAUCAGAAGUGCGAAUGCUGACGUGAGUAACGACAAAACGGGUGAAAAACCCGUUCGCCGAAAGACCAAGGGUUCCAGUCCAACGUUAAUCGGGGCUGGGUGAGUCGACCCCUAAGGCGAGGCCGAAAGGCGUAGUCGAUGGGAAAAUGGUUAAUAUUCCAUUACUUCUGUGUAAUGCGAUGAGAGGACGGAGAAGGCUAAAUCAGCCUGGCGUUGGUUGUCCAGGUGAAAGGAUGUAGGCAUGUAUCUUAGGCAAAUCCGGGGUACUCUAUGCUGAGAUCUGAUAGCAAGCUGUACUUGUACAGCGAAGUGGUUGAUGCCAUGCUUCCAGGAAAAGUCUCUAAGCUUCAGUUACACAGGAAUCGUACCCGAAACCGACACAGGUGGUCAGGUCGAGUAGACCAAGGCGCUUGAGAGAACUCUGCUGAAGGAACUAGGCAAAAUGGUACCGUAACUUCGGGAGAAGGUACGCUGUUGUUGGUGAUGGAACUCGCUUCCUGAGCUGACGACAGCCGCAGAAACCAGGCCGCUGCAACUGUUUAUUAAAAACAUAGCACUCUGCAAACACGAAAGUGGACGUAUAGGGUGUGAUGCCUGCCCGGUGCUGGAAGGUUAAUUGAUGGGGUUAGCGUAAGCGAAGCUCUUGAUCGAAGCCCCAGUAAACGGCGGCCGUAACUAUAACGGUCCUAAGGUAGCGAAAUUCCUUGUCGGGUAAGUUCCGACCUGCACGAAUGGCAUAAUGAUGGCGGCGCUGUCUCCAGCAGAGGCUCAGUGAAAUCGAAAUCGCUGUGAAGAUGCAGUGUACCCGCGGCUAGACGGAAAGACCCCGUGAACCUUUACUGCAGCUUGACACUGAACUUUGACCUUACUUGUGUAGGAUAGGUGGGAGGCUUUGAAGCUGGAACGCUAGUUCCAGUGGAGCCGUCCUUGAAAUACCACCCUGGUAAUGUUGAGGUUCUAACUCUGUCCCGUGAUCCGGGACGAGGACCGUGUCUGGUGGGUAGUUUGACUGGGGCGGUCUCCUCCUAAAGAGUAACGGAGGAGUACGAAGGUGCGCUCAGCGUGGUCGGAAAUCACGCGUAGAGUAUAAAGGCAAAAGCGCGCUUAACUGCGAGACCCACAAGUCGAGCAGGUACGAAAGUAGGUCUUAGUGAUCCGGUGGUUCUGUAUGGAAGGGCCAUCGCUCAACGGAUAAAAGGUACUCUGGGGAUAACAGGCUGAUACCGCCCAAGAGUUCAUAUCGACGGCGGUGUUUGGCACCUCGAUGUCGGCUCAUCUCAUCCUGGGGCUGAAGCAGGUCCCAAGGGUAUGGCUGUUCGCCAUUUAAAGAGGUACGCGAGCUGGGUUUAGAACGUCGUGAGACAGUUCGGUCCCUAUCUACCGUGGGCGCUGGAAAUUUGAGAGGAUCUGCUCCUAGUACGAGAGGACCAGAGUGGACGAACCUCUGGUGUACCGGUUGUGACGCCAGUCGCAUCGCCGGGUAGCUAUGUUCGGAAGGGAUAACCGCUGAAAGCAUCUAAGCGGGAAGCCUACCUCAAGAUAAGAUUUCCCUAGGACUUUAUGUCCUCUAAAGAGCCGUUCGAGACUAGGACGUUGAUAGGUUGGAUGUGGAAGCAUAGUGAUAUGUGAAGCUGACCAAUACUAAUUGCUCGUGAGGCUUGACUA